AGUUUCUUUUAUACAAUUUUGUGGAAUUUAUGGGGGGGAAAAAAAUCAUUGCAUUUAAUCAGGUUUUCAGUCAUUCUAAUCUUUGUGAUCAGCAGUAAUUGUUUUUGUGUCGUCAUUAACUGGGUAGAAGAGAAUUUUAAUUUUUUAAUGUUUUUAAUUUAUCUGAAAAUGUGGCUCCUCACUUGAUAAUUGCUUAGUUUUAGAUUUUAUCUGUGUUGUUAGCAGUUAUAUUUGGACAUUUUGUUAAGCUGCUGAUGGGUGAGACAUCCAACAACACUUAUCAAAAUUCUACAAUCUACAGCAUUUGCAUAGCACUUUGUUUUUUUUUUUUUUUUUAAAAAGG